rnacentral:rRNA from 1 species
AGAGUUUGAUCAUGGCUCAGGAUGAACGCUGGCGGCGUGCUUAACACAUGCAAGUCGAACGAAGCACUUUGAAAGCUUGCUUUCAAAGUGACUGAGUGGCGGACGGGUGAGUAACGCGUGGGUAACCUGCCUUAUACAGGGGGAUAACAGUUGGAAACGACUGCUAAUACCGCAUAAGCGCACAGUGCCGCAUGGCACAGUGUGAAAAACUCCGGUGGUAUAAGAUGGACCCGCGUCUGAUUAGCUAGUUGGUGAGGUAACGGCUCACCAAGGCGACGAUCAGUAGCCGGCUUGAGAGAGUGAUCGGCCACAUUGGGACUGAGACACGGCCCAAACUCCUACGGGAGGCAGCAGUGGGGAAUAUUGCACAAUGGGGGAAACCCUGAUGCAGCAACGCCGCGUGAGUGAAGAAGUAUUUCGGUAUGUAAAGCUCUAUCAGCAGGGAAGAUAAUGACGGUACCUGACUAAGAAGCCCCGGCUAACUACGUGCCAGCAGCCGCGGUAAUACGUAGGGGGCAAGCGUUAUCCGGAUUUACUGGGUGUAAAGGGAGCGUAGGCGGCUUGGCAAGUCUGAUGUGAAAGCCCAGGGCUCAACCCUGGGACUGCAUUGGAAACUGUCAGGCUAGAGUGCAGGAGAGGUAAGUGGAAUUCCUAGUGUAGCGGUGAAAUGCGUAGAUAUUAGGAGGAACACCAGUGGCGAAGGCGGCUUACUGGACUGUAACUGACGCUGAGGCUCGAAAGCGUGGGGAGCAAACAGGAUUAGAUACCCUGGUAGUCCACGCUGUAAACGAUGAAUACUAGGUGUCGGGUCCGUCAAGGAUUCGGUGCCGCAGCUAACGCAAUAAGUAUUCCACCUGGGGAGUACGUUCGCAAGAAUGAAACUCAAAGGAAUUGACGG